UGGGGAAUAUUGCACAAUGGGCGCAAGCCUGAUGCAGCCAUGCCGCGUGAGUGGAGAAGGCCUUAGGGUCGUAAAACUCUUUCACCGGUGAAGAUAAUGACGGUAGCCGGAGAAGAAACCCCGGCUAACUCCGUGCCAGCAGCCGCGGUAAUACGGAGGGGGUUAGCGUUGUUCGGAAUUACUGGGCGUAAAGCGCACGUAGGCGGACCAGUCAGUCAGAGGUGAAAUCCCGGGGCUCAACCUCGGAACUGCCUUUGAUACUGCUGGUCUCGAGUUCGAGAGAGGUGAGUGGAAUUCCGAGUGUAGAGGUGAAAUUCGUAGAUAUUCGGAGGAACACCAGUGGCGAAGGCGGCUCACUGGCUCGAUACUGACGCUGAGGUGCGAAAGCGUGGGGAGCAAACAGGAUUAGAUACCCGCGUAGUCC
rnacentral:rRNA from 1 species